rnacentral:lncRNA from 1 species
UUAUAAAGAGAGAGGAUAGAGUGAAGAAUUUCUCAUUUUUGAAUGAGAUUUGGUAGAUAAAUUUGCAUAACAUAGGGUUUGUGAUAUAGUUGCCCCCUAAAUAGCUGUUGGUGGCUUUAUUAUUAACUCUAUAUUGUGCAUCUUUGUUCUAUUCUUUUGAACAUGAGUUUUCUUCACAAUGAACCUUCUAUAAAGUACACUUGAUAUGAGCCCUUUG